rnacentral:rRNA from 1 species
CUCAAAAACUUAGUCUCAGUUCGGAUUGUAGGCUGAAACUACGCCUACAUGAAGCUGGAGUUGCUAGUAAUCGCGAAUCAGCAUGUCGCGGUGAAUACGUUCCCGGGCCUUGUACACACCGCCCGUCACACCAUGAGAGUUGGCAAUACCCAACGUACGUGAUCUAACCCGCAAGGGAGGAAGCGUCCUAAGGUAGGGUCAGCGAUUGGGGUGAAGUCGUAACAAGGUAGC